ACUUGAAGAGUUCCAGUACCUGGACUGGCCACACAGCCCCACAGAUGGAUGGAACCACCACCAAAUGUUACUACUCCACAAGGCUGUUACACGUGGCCUUCCCAACUAACCAAGCAACAGCACCCCCUGUGGUGGAACUGUGCAACAGCAUCAAGUAACAAAAGUGCCAUUGAAACUGCAAAGAGGCAUUAAUAACAAUUAAACCAAUUAACAAUUAAACCAAUAAUAACAGAUGACAGGGUAAUGCUACCCAUGGGGAGGAGGGCUCAGCCCUAACCCCCCCAACCCUAAUCCCUGCAUGUUUCUUUCAACUGCCACAACUGUUUCCUUUCCGUGAAGCAAACAACCUUCUUAAGUGUACAUUCAUGACAAUACACACAAACAUCAUGUAUGUAAACACACACACACACCCGUCAUCAUUUGACCGGGAGGUAUUUGAUGCAUCCCUGUGAUGAAUAUAAAGUAUAAACACUCCUCUGAAUCCUCCACGCUGGCCUCAAUUUCAUGCCAUUAUGUGGGCAUAAUAAACACAUUAGCUUCUCCCGUCCCAAUCCCAAAGAUGAAUCUUUCCCCGCUACAUAAAAUCAUUUGUCGACGCUCUCGGUGUGUUGCUGAAUAAUGCAUGAGGCUGCUGCCCCGCGCGAGACCUAACUCUGGUUUCUGGAUGGUGCUCGGGAAAGGAAGCGGAACCAUUUAGGUGUGGAAGGUUUUUUUGGAGAUGAUGCACGGUGGCCAGGAUUGACUGUGAAAGACAGUUCCUCAGGGAAGGAUCAUUUCAUUUUUAUCUAAUCUUAGCUUAUCUUAGCUCCACCUUACAGCAGCUGAAGUGCUUCAGAAAAAAGACGUUUUUGAUUGUGUUGGAGAACUUGUAUCAGGAAGUUUGUUCUAAAGAGGCAUUUACAUAUACAUAUAUCAUAACAAUACACGUUACCUCAAGGCAUUGUUUCAGAUCCAGCUAAAGCCAAACUUUACUCUAAUUUGAGUUCAAGGGAUUUUUAAAAAAUUGAGUAGAUAUGUUUGUUUUCUAAUGGUUGAGAUGACCCAAUGUAAUGAUGUCUGAUAAAAGAAUGACAUCUCUUAGUUUUAUAGUUCUUAUUGGAUUUCAACACGAUCGCCCCAUUCUGCGUUGCAGUUUGAACAUUGGUCCCUCACUCAAUACUGCAAUGUUACAUUGACGUGGUAUUACAUCAGCUUCACACUGCAUGGAGUCAGCCAUGUCCAGCAUGACCGAGUGUGUGGAAGAGUCUUUACAAAAAAAUGGAAAAUAAGAACAAAACUACAUUCACAUUGAAAUAAAAAGGAGUCAGAACUCAGAAUUCUACCUUAACUCACAGGUGUUACAUGUCCGUGUAGGACCACAGAAUGCAGAUGCAGACUGGGGCCAUUAAAAGUCCUUUAAUAGACUUACUCACAAACAAA